rnacentral:rRNA from 1 species
UACAGAGGUCCCAAGCGUUGUUCGGAUUCACUGGGCGUAAAGGGUGCGUAGGUGGUCGGGUAAGUCUGAUGUGAAAUCUUCGAGCUCAACCCGAAAAUGGCAUUGGAUACUAUUCGGCUGGAGGGUUGGAAGGGGGACUGGAAUUCUCGGUGUAGCAGUGAAAUGCGUAGAUAUCGAGAGGAACACCGGUGGCGAAGGCGAGUCCCUGGACAAUCCCUGACACUGAGGCACGAAAGCUAGGGGAGCAAACAGG